rnacentral:rRNA from 1 species
AUGUCCAAAGUCUUGUGUGGACCAUUAACAUCUCUUGAGGGCAGUAAUUCUUAUUCCUCUCGUCCCCCGCAUCACCCUCCCUGGCGACACGGGGAAAACCUAGAUCGGCGCCGCCACCCCCCUUCCCACCCUCCCCUUGGCUCGCCGCCACCGAAGGAGUGGCCGGCAAAGCCCGCCGGCUCCGGUGAAGGUGGCGGCGGGGCCCUCUCAUCUCCCCUGUCUGCAAGUUUGGCGAGGAGGCUGCCAAGGACGGCUCAGGGCGGGGGCAUGGUGGCGUGGUGGCUCGCGUGCGCGAUGCGGUGGCCCAGGGCGGCGCGUGGCGGGAAGCUUGCUGCGGCAAGUGGCUGGCUGCGGCGGCCGUACGGGAGGCGUGGAGGCAGGCCAGCGCGCCACUUGGGCGCACGGGCGGCGCGGUCGCCGCCCUGCGCGACAGAGGGAGUACAUGGCGUGGCUGCUCAUGCGGGGCGCGCGCGGAUCUUGCCUGCGUGCGACAGAGUGGUGGGCCUGUGUGACUGCGAGGGCGCCGACAUGGUUGGGCCUGCGCGCGGAUCUGGCGCGUGGAGGAGGAUGGCCCGGAGGCUGCGGAUCCGGGCUCGGGUGCACAGGAUGCGGCGCUGGAAGGAGCAAGGCGGCACGCGAGGGCUGCGGCGGGCGUGGCCACGCAAGAGGGAUGCUGCGGGCGCGUUGAGGGUGCCAGGGGGCCCGGGAGGGGCACAGCCGGCUGCUGGUGGUGCCCGGCUACCGCUUGUUGGAGCAGGGAGGCUCCGGUCGCGGUUGGAUACGGGGUGCAAGACUCGAUCGGGUCUUUGCAGGCCCGUCGUUGGGGAAGGUAGCUGGUGGCCCUACACAACAGUGGCGUGCUUGCUGUGUGGGGGUGCGCAGUCCAAUGGAGGUACGGGUCGACCUCGGCCUGCUGCGCUGGAGUGGCUGCUCCGGGUGAAAGACUGGCCGGUGUUGGCCGGCCGGCGACGACGGUGCAUGUGGGCGUCGCUAUCGUCCUUGGAGGCGUUGUCGGGGAUCUCACAGCCACUGCUCCUGGAUCAAGUCCUUCGGGUGAAAACCCAGAUCCUGCUGCAGGGUCGGGCGGUGGCGUCGUCUUCAACGCCGUUUCCCUCUUUAGGCCAUCGUCUUGAAGACUUUGAUCCCUUUGGUGCUUCCUAUGACUGGACGUGCACGGUGACUUCUGUGGCAACGAUGAUGGCGGUGAGCAAUGUCGGAGAUGUGGCCUUGGUCAUGGUAGUCGGCUCUUCUUCUCCAACCACAGAGGUCACGGCUCAUGGAGCCAAAACCACUCUCCUGCAUGAGGCAUUUAAAGACAGAUUGGGGAAAUCUGAGCCUUUCCAAAUUCCUCAGGAUAUGCUGAAUCUUAUUCAACCUCACAGUGAUUUAUCUUUUCUUGAGCCCCCUUUCACUACUGAAGAUAUUGACGCUGUUAUAAAAGAAAUGCCAUCUAACAAUUCUCCAAGACCAGAUGGGUUCAACACAGACUUCAUCAAGAAAUAUUUGCCCCAUCUUGUCUUUUUGAACCUUGGUUACAACCACCUCUCAGGAGGAAUCCCAUCAAGCAUUUGUGCUCUUGCCAAGCUCGAAAACUUGGAUCUGUCUAGCAAUGACCUGAACGGAUCUAUCCCAACAUCCCUAGAUUUUCCCCAUCUUGUCUAUUUGAACCUUGGUAACAACCACCUCUCAGGCGGAAUCCCAUCAAGCAUUGGUGCUCUUGCCAAGCUCGAAUACUUGGAUCUGUCUAGCAAUAAUCUGAAUGGAUCUAUCCCAACAUCCCUACAUUUGCUCCAUCUUAACAAUUUGAACCUUGACAACAACCUCCUCUCGGGCGAAAUCCCAUCAAGCAUUGGUGCUCUUGCCAAGCUUGAAAACUUGGAUCUAUCCUUCAAUAUUCUUAAUGGAUCGAUUGGAAGCAUAGGAAAUCUAACGAAUUUAUAUUACCUAGAUCUUUCCAACAACCAGAUCACGGGUUCCAUUGGAAGCAUAGGAAAUCUAACAAGUUUACAAUUCUUGGAUCUUUCAAACAAUCAAAUAAAUGGUUCCAUCCCUUGGACAUUCUCGAAAUUGAUCUCUGUUAGAACACUAUCACUUAAGUCCAAUCAGCUUAAUGGAAGAGUUCCAUUUAUCGCUGCCACCUUGAUCGUACUUGACCAUAAUACAUGCUUAUGUGGUGAUUUGUAUGGCUUAACUCCAUGUGAAACACCGAAGCUCGACAUGGAACACCAAAAAGGAAUAGUCCAAGUAUGGUACUUCUUGCUCUUUUUGCACCCUUUUCAUUUGCUUGCCUCUCAAUUAUCUAUCUUCAGAGUUCAUCUUGAAGAUGGGAUUAUCUUUGCCGUCAAGCUCCUUCAGUCGGUGGAAGAAUACAACGACGAGGGAACAUUUCAUGCCGAGAUUGAACUUAUCGAGAGGGGAAGCUUAUCAUCCACUAUGCACGAGCAAGAGCUAGCGAAGGUGCUGGAUUGGCCCAAGAGAGUUUCUGUUGUGGUGAACGUAGCACAAGCUCUCUCCUACUUGCACCAUGAUUGUGGCGAUCCAAUCAUGCACCGCGACAUAAAAAGCAGCAACACUCUUCUGGACCUCGAUUAUAAGGCUUAUGUUUCAGACUUUGGCAUGGCGAGGAAACUGAAGCAUGGUUACUCAAGCUGGAGCUCUAUUUUUGCAGGCACAUGUGGCUACAUAGCCCCUGAGCUGUCAUCUACCAUGGUGUUGACUGAGAAGUGCGACGUGUACAACUUCGGCGUGGUUGCGCUGGAAGUUUUGAUGGGAAAGCACCCAGGUGAUCUGCUCCUUCCAUUCUUUUGCCGAACAGAGCAGCCGGGGAAGUUCAAUGAUAUUCUGGAUCGAUGUGUCGCAGCACCGUCAACUAUUGACGAGGAGAAGGAUGUCAUUUUGGUUACCUUGGUGGCCUUUUCUUGCCUGCAAGUCAAUCCCAAAGCCCGGCCAACAAUGCAACAUUGUCAUGCAUGCAUGCGCCUCCCCAAGAAGGCUGUUGUGUAUGGGAGUUCGCCAAAUUCAGGAAAGGUUGUUGCGUUGUGGUCCAGAAAGAAUUACCAGGAACUAAAUUCCUUUGUCAUCUUGCCUGAACAAAUGCAAGUCUACUUCCCUAGCACCGAUAGUAGAUUUGUCAGACUUCAACAAUUUUCAGCAUUUUUCAGCAUAGAUGGUCUUCAGGCAUUGCUCGCUGUCAUGCUGAUCAGUUUGAUUCGUCAGUCAGUAGAGAAGAGGCAGGAAAAGGACAGGAUUGAUAGAGAAAGUCAGAAAACAUUCAUCGGGUAUUUAAAAUCACAUUCGAUUUAA